rnacentral:lncRNA from 1 species
UACUCCUUUUGUUCCUUUUUUAAACUUUUUUUAGUUGAAGCAUAGUUGAUUCGCAAUGUUGUGUUAGGUUCAGGUGUACAGCAGAGUGAUUCAGUUGUAUGUACAUUAUAUAUUUUUCAGAUUCUUUUCUGUUACAGGUUAUUACAAGAUACUGAGAGUAUAGUUCCAUGUGCUAUACAGUAGGUCCUUUCUGUUUAUCUGUUUUAUAUAUAGUAGUGUGUAUAUAUUAAUCUCAAACUCCUAAUUUAUCCCAACCCCCCCUCCCUUUCCCCUUUAGUAACCAUAAGUUUGUUUUCUCCUUCUGUGAGUCUAUUUCUGUUUUAUAAAUGACUUUAUUUGUAUCAUUUCCAUACUGUUUAUAUGUUGACCUUUUAUCAGUUCCUGACAAGUAGGGCCCUUCUAAAAGUGUUCCAACACAGGUUAACAGAGAUUUUAAAAUUUAAGUACCAUACCUUAUGGAGAGUAAGAGGAGAGUUUUUACUGGUGCUUGCGUGUUUUCCCUAAAAAUAGCCUCUUGGCAAUAGUUAGCCUGAACUUGUGUUUGAAUAGGGGUGAAAGUGUGCUUACUAUUGUCUAUUACCUUAUGGUUUUUCAUUUGUGUGUAACAGGGUUCAACUUGCUUCCUUCCCACCCUACAGUUGUCAGGAUGUGUUGGGAAGCUCUUCCUUAGGGAGAUUACAUCUGGUCUUCUGUUGGAGUAAGAUGAAAAACAAGUAUGUUAAUACUUCACCUUUAAUGCUUUCUUCUGAAGGACAUCAAACAUCUGUGAGCGUCAUUCAUACCUUCCCUCGACUGCGCCCACACUCACUCCUGUCUCUGCUUGAUCCCUGAAAAUAUUUGAUUCCCUUUGAGUUCUGUGAUAGAAAAGUAUAACCAUUUGGGGGGUUAAGGCUGUCAUUGUAAAUCCAAACUCUGCCAGAAAGAGUGGGAGUUUUGCUUUUGCUCGUAGGUACAUUGCUCAGAGGCAGCCAACACUUGGACUCUCUUGAGACCCUUACAUUGUUGCUUUCUUUCAGCUUCUGUGACUUCUUAUGUUCACCCUUCCUGUGACAGUAUUAGUGCUGUCAGUGACUGCAGAAACAACUCAGAAGGUAGCCUUUUUCUUCCUUUCCUUUGUUUCCUCUCAUUUUUAGUAGUCAAGGCAGGUUAGUUUUCUCAUAAUGUUCAGUUUUACUGAAGCAUUAUUCCUGUUUUAUCUCUGCAGAGAUCAGUUUGGAUGGCAAAAAAAUACAUCACUUUCAUUUUAGAAUUGUCCGAUUUUUAUUUUUUAUUUGUAACUGGUGCAUGCACAUUGAAUAAUUUCAAGGACGUGAGGUAAAUGUAGUUCUCUCCUGGAUUACCCUGUUUUUCCAGCUAAAUCAAUCUAUUAUCUUGUUCACCAACCACAAGUAAUUGUGUCUUGUAGUAAACAGCUUCAAAGAGUAGGCUGUUCUAAACAUUCCUGAGAACAUAGUCUUCCUAAUCUUUAUUUAUAGUUAUCCAAAAAGUUCAUGAAGAGUUAAAGUAUUAAAGUCUAUUGGAGUUCCCAUUGUGGCACAGCGGAAAUGAAUCUAACUAGGAACCACAAGGUUGUGGGUUCAAUCCCUGGCCUCGCUCAGUGAGUUAAGAAUCCGGUGUUGCUGUAAGCUGUGGUGUAGGUUGCAGACAUGGAUUGGAUCUGGUGUUGCUGUGGCUGUGGUGUAGGCCGGUGGCUACAGCUCUGAUUGGACCCCAUUUAUUCAUGAGCAAUGGUCACCAUAGCACCUCCUACUAGGAGGAUUGGUGGCUGCUGUGGCACACUGGCUCCCUCAAAUAUGAGAGAAUAAAGUACAUAUAUAAGAAAAGAUUGGCCCAUUCUGACCUUGUAGAUUAUAGCCCAUUCACAACUGCUCAAUCCAGGGUUCCAAAGAUUACCAUAAAUCUCAAGCUUUCAGGCUAAUCUGAAUAUGUGAUAACUGAUAGAAAAGUAACUCCAAGAACCCAUGCAAAUUGGAGCCAACUGCUACUAUGUUUCCACUUAACUUCCCAGGCCCUUACCCUUUGGUCAGUGCCAGACAGUCUGAAAAGCAGGAAUCCAGGAAUUUCAGUGCUGGACAAAAGUCUUGUACGCAAGUGGUACUGACUUUAGUGGAAAAUAAAUGGCCAGGAUGUAGGGACUACAUAUAGAAUGGAGAUAUGGGACACUAUGAACUGGAGAAAGAAGAGGCAAACAUAGGGAAGGAAAGAGAUUUGGUGCUGGUCGUGAUAGUCUGACAGCUUAGCCAUUUCAUUUUCUGAGAAAGCGGGCGUGGGGGGGUGGUAAUAGGGUGCCAUGGGUCUAAUCACAACAUUUCCUCAGUGGAAGCCCUUAUCACUAGAGGCUCCCUACCACCUAGCCCAACCUGACUCUCUUGCCUUCUCUUCACUACCCAUCCUCAGCAUUUCUCUCACAGCAGAGUGCUGUGGUUACCUGUUUUUGUCUACCCAGCAUCCUAUUUCUCCUCCUUAUCUCCUUAUGAAUUCUGUGUUGGUUCUAAGUGGCUAACUUUAUGAGUCUUCUCACUACCUUUCCCACCCUUGGUUACAAUUAUUUUCUGUUUUGCAUGAAUUCCUAUUAUCAAAACAGCUCAAUCACAGUACUGUCUGUAUGAUGGCAAGGUGAUGGGUACAUGGCUCAGACCAGAUGAUAUUUCUCACUCGUGAGCCACAGUGAUUAACCCAAAAACAGGCACAUGACCCAAACUAGACUGAGAAGAGUUCUCCCAUAUGAUCUAAUUGCUGGCCUGUAGGUGCAGAUAGCCUUCUGUGGCUUUUAGGUACCAUCUGGUAGCACAUGGUGUGAUGUGAGCCUGGAGCCACCUGUAGUCAAACUCCACCCCUUCUUCCUGCAACAUGGAUAAGGUCCAUCUGCUGCAGGAGAGAAGGAAGCAUAAACACACACACAUGAAGGAAGGGGAGCAUACACACAUGAGCGGGGCCAAGAGUUCCUGGAGAACCAAAGUGAAUGCCAUCCCCAGCUUUCCCAAUUAUACUUUCCUUUUAUUUGCUUAAGCUAUUUUGAGUUGGGUUUCUGUCUCUUGGAUCCAGAAGAGUUCAAAUUAAUAAUCAUCUAACCAAAAAUAACCUCCACAUCCCUAGUGGAAAUUCUUUGAGGACAAUGUCCUUUGAAGAUUUCCUCAAUCCACUUGUUGAAAUUAAUAACUGCUCGUGAGCCUCAGUCAUAGUCUAUUUGGGCUGCUGUAGCAAGAAUAUCAUAAAUGGGGUGGCUUAUAAACAAUGUAAAUUCUCUCAACUCUGGAGGCUGGGAAAUCCAUGACCAUGGUCCUGGCAGAUUCAGUGUCUGGCGAAAGGCCACUUCCUCAUUGACUGCCAUCUUCUCACUACAACCUCACGUGAUGGAAGGGACAAGGGAUGGCUCUGUAAUCUUUUGUAAGGGCACUAAUCCCAUUCAUGGGGGUUCCAUCCUCAACUUAAUCACCUCCCAAAGGCCCCAUCUCUCAACAUGAUCUCAUUGGGGAUUAGGUCUCAACAUAAGAAUUUAGGGGAGACAUUAAGUCCAUAGCACCCCCAUUAACAAUAUACACUUCAGAGUUCCCACUGUGGCACAGUGGGUUAAGAAUCCGACUGCAGUUGCUCAGGUCACUGCAGAGGUACAGGUUAGAUUCCUGGCCUGGUGCAGUGGGUUAAAGGAUCUGGCAUUGCUGUGACUUACACCACAGCUGCAGCUCAGAUUCAGUCCCUGGCCCGGGAACUUCCAUGGGCCAUGGGAGCAGCCACAAAAUUUUAAAAAACGCUGCAAUAGUUACACUGGUUUCAUUUUGCCUUGAUUUGGGUUUUGAUUACCUGUCACUUUUUCACUUGUUUCCAGGCUUUUUAAAGGUAGGUAGCAUGCCUUGUAAGGGCUUAAAUUCUUUGAAUUAUAUCUAGACUGGCACUGUGUGCUAGGAACAACCAUGACUUUAAAAAUAUAAAAAUCCUUACCUUCAUGAAGUAUACAUUCUAGGGGAAAUUAUGUGACCAGUAUUCAUGGGGAUUGCUGAUUUGGGAGAAGACAAACCCUACUUGGAAUCAAGAGGCUCAGACAGAAGGGAUCUUAUCUUUUUCUAUAACCAACAAGAGCAAAAUUAAUAUCUCCUAGGAUGUGGCAGAGGAAUGGGAAGUAUAAGUCAGAGUGAACUUGAAAACAACUUGGGUGUACUGUGCAACAGACUGACUGUUAUAUUUGCCUAUGCUGAACAAAAAUGUCUAACCAGAUAUUCAUUACUCCCCAAAACUCAGUGGUGUUUCCUACAGAGACCAAAAAUUAGUUCCUUCUUGCCAUGUGCUCUUCCCUAACUGUGAUAAUGCAUGUUCUACCUCUCUCUACCUUUGCACCUGGUGUCCCCUCACCCUAGGAUGUGUUCUACUAUUUUCCCCAUUUGCUGAACUUCUUAUUUUGAAUUUAGUAAUCACUCAUUCAUGAUUAGGAAAAGAAAAUUCCCUGUGGUUUCCCAGUUCCUUCCAGCUGCAGGCUAUUUUCUCUCUAUUCCAGAUAAUAAUUUAUGAUUUGCCCUCUCUGAAACUGAAACUUGAAAACAAGCAGAGGAGAAAAAGAUAGGGUUUAUGGGAAAUGGUAAUUGGUCAAUUGCUUUUGUGAGUGAUGCUGUGAGUGAUGUGUGUUCUGUUGUGUUUUGUUUAUAAUGAAGGGAAUGUAUUCCGAGUUUCAUAUAAAUAACUGUCAACUUUGGGACCACAACUUUUUUGGAGGGUAAGGAUUACCAGUGUGUACCUGUAUGUAAAUGCACAGAGUUCUGUGUCAGUCCUUACACCAAAUUGUAGCCUCUGAUGGUGCAAUGACCAUGUGCUGUGACAAAGAUGACCUGUGUCGGGAAGGGACACCGAAGCACGGGGGAGGGGAAGGACUGCUCCCAGGAAGUGACAGUUAAAAGUGACCUAACCCGUGGGCACAACUGGGGCAUCGUGUUUGGGGUUGUCUCCCUGGCUCCCCAUUGUAAGCCCAAGCCGGAGAACACUCCAGGCUGACACAUCAAAGCCUUGGAAUUUUUCUCAACUAGAUCUGUGGUUUAAAUAUUUGCCACCACCACCCAUCUCAAAGGUUCUCUGCUCAUUGUUAUGCCCUCUCAACUGAAGAAGAUUUAUGCGUAAGGGAGGGACGCUUACUAGCUUACCAAAUUUAUUAAAUCCUCAAUCAUGUAGCUUUUAUUAAAAUUAUUGUUGACAUUUACCAGUUUGCUCUCUUCCUGGCGCUGUUCUAGGUGCUUUAAGUGUAUUCCCUCGUUUAGGGUUUACAGUGCCCUCCUGAAGUAAACACUGUUGUCAGGCCUUAUUUUUCAACAAGGAAACCAAGACAUAGAUUUAGGUAACCAGACCCUGGUCACACAGCUACAAGAUGAUGAUGGAGCUGCUGCUGCUGCAUGGGGAUGUUUGAGCCUGUGCUGUGGUACUUCUCCCAGUGCAACACAUGGGACACAUUCUCCAUGGGCGUCAGGACCAGACUUCACAUCACUAUCUGUAGGUAAAAGCCCAAGAGUUGUACUCAGUCAAAAUUCUAGCUUACUCCCCUGCUUGUUCUCUCAGCUGCUGGUAAAAAUAAUCACUGUGCUGGAGUUCCCAUCAUGGCUCAGGGGAAACGAAUCUGACUAGUAUCCAUGAGGACACAGGUUCAAUCCCUGGCCUUGCUCAGUGGGUUAACGAUCCAGCGUUGCCGUGAGCUAUGGUGUAGGUUGCAGACACAGCUCGGAUCCUGCGUUGCUGUGGCUCUGGCAUAGGCCAGUGGCUACAGCUCCGAUUAGACCCCUAGCCUGGGAACCUCCAUAUGCCGCGGGAGCGGCC